rnacentral:rRNA from 1 species
AAUAGAUACCCAGGUAGUCCAUGCCGUAAACGUUGGGAACUAGAUGUAGGGCCUGUUCCACGGGUUCUGUGUCGUAGCUAACGCAUUAAGUUCCCCGCCUGGGGAGUACGGCCGCAAGGCUAAAACUCAAAGGAAUUGACGGGGGCCCGCACAAGCGGCGGAGCAUGCGGAUUAAUUCGAUGCAACGCGAAGAACCUUACCAAGGCUUGACAUGUAGAAGAACACUGCAGAGAUGCAGGACUCUUUGGACACUUCUAUACAGGUGGUGCAUGGUUGUCGUCAGCUCGUGUCGUGAGAUGUUCGGUUAAGUCCGGCAACGAGCGCAACCCUCGUCCUAUGUUGCCAGCACGUUAUGGUGGGAACUCAUGGGAUACUGCCGUGGUCAACACGGAGGAAGGUGGGGAUGACGUCAAAUCAUCAUGCCCCUUAUGUCUUGGGCUUCACGCAUGCUACAAUGGCCGGUACAAAGAGCAGCGAUACCGUGAGGUGGAGCGAAUCUCAAAAAGCCGGUCUCAGUUCGGU